GUAUCAAAGAUAGAUGCAAAGCAUAAAGUUAGAUCCGUGUCAGUUAUUUGCAAUUCGUUGAUCACUGGCAUCAUUAAGUGUGUGGUUAGCUGCCUUGUAUUUGUAGGAGCUGAAAAACUGCUAGUGAUGACUGAUGGAAUUGUUUGCUUGUCAGUGCCUGGGGCAUAGUAGGUGCUCAGAAAAGAGGGAUUUCAUGCCAAGGACACAGAGUGAUGAAACCUGAAGUGUGUGAACUGUGUUUUCUGUGUUCCUCAUGUGAGUGAGGACCCAAAGAGUGAAAUAGGUCUAUAGGAGAGAAAGAAGUGUGGUCCAAGAUAGGAAGGGAGUGGCUUUGGUAUGGGAGGCAGCUAGGGAGAGGAAAAGCCAUAAAAGGUUAAUUAAUGAACACACAGUGUUCCUGCCCUGCAGAGGCAGCUCAAAAGCCACUAGGAUGACAAUGAAUCCAGGCAGUGCUGGGUACUCGGUGAGGGACACCACUGUCCCUCCAGUAUCCACACCAGGGCUGCCCGAAGUCAUAUUGACUCCUCCCCUAACAGGUCACAGCUGGUCACUCACUGCAUCCUGUUCUGCUCUGGGCCCUACCCACUCCUUGACCACUGCUUGGUCCAGCCUGUGGCCACCAUGUCUCCAGCUUUAUGUGAGAUGGCUGAAUGUGGGCAAGGGAUGAAGAGUGCCUUUUCUAAGAUGCAAACCUAAACACGUUAAGUCAGUUCCUUGAACAAGAAGCCUCUUAGGGUAAAGUCCAAGAGCGCCCCACCCCUCUCUGCCUAAACCACAGACUAAGCUCUGCCUGUUCUCCCUUCCUACCCUGUUCUCCAGCGAUGGUGAACUCUGCUUCUCUCUGUUCCCCUUCAGCUCUCUCUCUACCUCUGGCCCCUUUGCUCAUUUUUCUAGGUGGAAAAGCCUCUCUGUUUUCUUCAUGAACUAAUGCCUUCCACUCUUAUUUCUUUAAAUCCUAUUCACUCAUUAUGUCUUGGAUGACAUUUUCUCCAAAAUACAUCUCUCACCACUAUCCCUCAUCUCGCCUUUAGAUAAAUUGAGAUACUCCUUCUUAGUGCUAUGGUCCCACCUGAAUUUCACCUCUUGUAAUAUUUUCUUUUUUCAAGAUUUUAUUUAUUUGAGGGGUAGAGUUACACAGAGAGAGAGACAGAGACAGAGACGAAAGUCUUCUAUCCACUAGUUCACUCCUCAAAUGGCCACAAAGACUGGAGCUGGGCCGAUCCGAAGCCAGGAGCCAAGAGUUUCCUUCAGGUCUCCCUAGAGGGGCCCAAGCACCUGGGACAUCUUUUACCGCUUUCCCAGUCCAUAAGCAGAUAUCUGGAUCGGAUGAAGGGGCACCCAGGGUGUGAACUGGUGACCAUAUGGGAGGCUGGUGCCCAUAGGCAGAAGGAAGCUUAGCCUACUAGGCCACAGUGCUGGCCCCUGUUUCUUUCUUGUAAGUGGCUAGUGAAUGACCGCUCCCCAGCACUAGCAUGGAAACUGGACAAGGGCAGGGACCUUGUCUAUACAGCAAAAUUGUGUUCCCAGGGCCCACAUUUUCAGUGAGUGUUUGUCAAGGGAAUAAAUGUACCUGAUUGAGAGGAAGAAGUGAUUUCAACUUAAAGAGAUGGGAGGAAUAGCAAGUGACUGUGAACUGGACCUCAGGAAAUCCAAGGGCUUUGUGAAGAGGACAAAAGAGGGAGGUCCCCUCCCUGAAUUUUUUUUUUUUUUAAGAUUUUUAUUUAUUUGAGAGGCAGAGUUACAGACAGAGGGAGAGGCAGAGAGAAAGGUCUUUCAUCCACUGAUUCACUCCCCAGAUGGCUGCAACAGCUGGUGCUGUACCGAUCCGAAGCCAGGAGCCAGGUGCUUCUUCCUGGUGUCCCAUGCGGGUGCAGGGCCCAAGCACUUGGGCCAUCCUCCACUGCACUCCUGGGCCACAGCAGAGAGCUGCAUCGGAAGUGGAGCAGCGGGGACUCGAACCAGCAUCACGGGCGGAGGCUUAACCCACUAUGCCACAGUGCCGGCCCCUCCCUGAGUGUUUUUAAGCAGCAGAGUGAGAUGGUCUCAGUGGUGCCCAGGUCUUGUUUUUGUCCCUAAAGCCAGCACAGUGCUCCACAGGUGACGAGGUGUUCAGUAAAUCCUGACUUAAGCUUGGUCCUUGCCAACUAGCAGGUGCUGUAGCUUAGGAUUCCUCCACCCUUGUCCCAGCAGAGCCCUGUUGCCGCACCCAAUAUUGCAAUCUGGGUUCUUGUGCCAGUGACGAUUGGAGAGUAGAUAUGGAGUAUAGUUCUGGCCAGUGGAAUAUGAAGGAACCUGUGCUGGGGGGGAGGGGACAAGGCUUAUGGGAAAUAUUUUCCUUCCUCAUGAGACGAAACCUGCACACCUGCUUAGGAAGUUGUUGUGUGAGGAUGUGAUGUGUGAAGCUGUGGCAGCCAUCUCCUCACCAUGAGGGAAAGACCAGGUUGCGGGUUUCUAUAUACAUAGUUGUUUUUCAUCAUUUUGUUUUCAGCCCAAAUGUUACCUCUUCAGUGAUGACUUCCUUACCGGUAAGGUCAACCCCGCCCCCUGCCCCACUCAGUUACUAGUUACUGUCCUCUUUUACUUUCUUCUCUUUACGAGUCAUUAACUCUGGUUACUUUGUUCAGUUUUUUAAUUUGUUACCUUUUUUUCCCACUAGAAUGUGAGCUUCCUGAGACUAGGGGCAUUGCUUCAUUCACUCCUUUUUCCCGAGCUCCUAGAACAGUAUCUGGUAACUAGAAGGUGAUCCGUAGGAGUUUGCUGAUUAAUGGAUGUUAGCUACACUAUGCCAAGACAAGCACGCCAUGUUGAAGUUGAUUCAGGGUCUGGCAGGCACAGCCACCACGAAUCUCCACUUUCUCCUUUGUGCUGUGUUUCAGUUAUUUCCUGCUUAGACAAUCUGAUACCCAAAUACACGCUCUUGAGAUUUCUUCUUCCUUUGUUACUCUAGAGUUUGUUCUAUUCCUUCCCCAGUAAAAAUCUCCUCUUCAUUUGAUGAUAGACAAAGUUACAAAGGCAGAAAAAUGUCAUGUGCUUGUGCAGUUUGAGCAGCAUGGAUACAUCUACCUUAAAGGGAAACAAAGUCACAUGUUUUGAAGUUGGAGAUAUAGGUAGACCAAGGUUGUUCUAUCUCUAAAUCAUUAUGGAGGAUCUGCAUAUUCCAGCAUCUGUAUGUGUUUCUGCCUGUAUUAUCCAUCCAUUCAUCCAUCCAUCAAUCCAGCAUUCCAUCCAUUGAUACAUGCAUGCAUCCAUCCAUGGAUUCAUCCUUCUGUUUAUCUCCUCAGAAUUGCCAGGAAAUACUGAGGUUGAAUUAGGUAGCCAGCAGUUCUGAUAAAGAUCAAAGUAUUGGAUAUGUGAUCUGCCCCACUGCAUGCCCCAGGAGCUGUCAGCAUUUCUAACGUAGGUAGGUAGCUGUUCUAAAUGCUGUUUGGUAGGACCAUGCAAUUGAAGGACAUAGCACAAAAAUAGUUGAAAUGUCCAAUCUUGAGAUCCAGGAGGUGAGUAAAACUGAAAGAGCUCCUGAAGAGAUAGCCAUGGGAUGGUGCGUUCACUAUUCGGAGUAGGUGGGAGAGUGAGUGUAUUGGGAAUAUUGGAAUGAGCAACUUGGAAGGGUAGGAGGUGAGUUGGAGAAUGGGGCCCUGUGAGUUGAACAUUUAGAGGUGAAGCAGCCCCAAGGGGUAGCAUAGAAAGGCUCUGGGGGUGGGAGGCAGAAGGGACAGAAAGGAAGGAGUGGCUGGGGUGCUGAAUGUAGUUCCGGGUAGAUCCUGAAAUUACUCAAAAUGGUGGCCAGACAGGAUAUGGAGUAAGACUGAGCCCCCAGGCCACGUCUCAUUUCAUGAGAAAAAAAAUCUCCAAGCAACUGGUGGACACUGGCAGCCAGAGAGAGUGGCUGAGCAAUACCCUUCCUCCUGUUGUUAACUGCUGCCUUGCAUCCUGGCUGUUCAAGUUGUCAUCACUCACAGUUGACUGUUUAUUGGUUGUUUUACUAGUAAAAUAGAUCAAUAAUUUAUUUUUCUUCUUUUUAUUAUAAACAUUAUUUCUGCCUCAUUGGGAAUUUAAAUCAGCUGUGAGGGACUUGUCAGGGAUCUUAAAACAUUAUUUAUAAUAUUUCCCAGGGAGAUGAUUCGAAAUUUCUGAAUCAAUAACCCACACAUAGGAAGCUUUAGAAUGUAGUUUAUUGCUGAGUUGGGGACCACCUGGGUUUCUUCUGUGCUGGGAGGCAGAGUGAGGAAAGAACACAAGGCCCACAGGUAGGAACCACGACUUUCCUUAUUUUAGAAUGAGAAGUUGACUCCUUAUGUUUCUAUUCCUGUCCUCUGUGUUAAGGAAAAAUUAUAGAUAUUUAUAUCUUGGAUUGAAUUUAAUGCACUAAGUAUUGCUUGAACCUCUACCAUAGGUCUGGAGUGGAGUAGGAGUACAAGAAAUAUAUAUAAUAUGAUCCUUGCAUUCAAGGAAUUUGAGAGAAUACACAGAUUGCUUAAGUAAUUAAAAGGACAAGAAGUAAAUGUAUUUGUUCAAAGAAAUAUGACUCAUCAUGUAAGGUUUGGUCUUUGUCUUAAAGGAGUUUAUAGACUUGCAAAAUACAUCUCAUCAGGUCAGGAAGCCCCCAAAAACCAUGCUAGAGGGGGUGCUGCCUGUUUUAGAACUCCAUUGCUGGUGGGGAAGGCACUGCAAGUCACGUUUUGGGAUCUGGAAGCGGCUCGAUGGCAAAGAGCACAUGGCCCACCCAGGAGCGGUGUGAGACAAGUUGGGACAGGUCAGCUGAGGACAGGUUGUAGAGAAAAUGGGAACUGGCCAUUGGGAAAUCAAGAUAGGUUUUUGAAAGGAUGAGUUGCAUGAUAGCAUAUCAAAAUGACAUUAAAUAUAAUUGUGAUAGGAAGUUCUGGCAGAGCAGGAGACAGCAGUUUGGAAUGUGUAUCUACAAGUGGAAUCCACGCAGAUGCCCCUCAGCUUAUGACAUAAGAGAAAUGAAGAUGCAAAAGAAGCAGACUUAGGCUCCUGACUCCAGCUUCCUGCCAGUGUGGACCCUGGGAGACAGCAGUGAUGGCGCAGGUGAGGACGUCUUGAGGAAGUUCCUGAGGUUCAGGGGAACAGAAGUCUCCACCGGGGAGCUCUCUCCAGAUCCCAGGAGAGUGACCCUUGGUGCAUUAGCAGGGAGUUGGAUUGGAAGUGGAUCAGCCAGGAACCACAUGGGAUGCAGCAGUUUCACCUGAGAAAGGAGACAGAAAAUCUGCAAAGUGUGGAAAACUGGAACAGCACCAUCAGUUAGUUGGACUCUCCCCAACAAUGGAUACACGUUCUCUUCAAGUUCACAUGGAACAUUAAUCAAAAGAGUGAAGGCUCCAGGGGAGGAUUGGGCUGUGUUGUUCACGCGGCAGCUCCCAGCUCCUGGAGUGUGUAUCCGUCACCUGCUGUGGGUCCGCCCUGCUCGGGAGCCCUCCUGCCAGAGGGGAAGCAGAUGUGCAAGAACUGUACGGAGGCACGCUUGGGAGAGCUGCUCAGGAAAACACUGGCGAGCGCUAGGAAAGCACGGAUUUGGGCGCUCAGGCCGAGAAGUCCGUGAAAGAGGGGGCAGUAGCAGGGGGAGCCUGCAGGGAGAAGCAGCAGCAGGGCGAGGAGGAGAAAGCCCGCCGCGUGCCAGCUGUGGGGGGAGCCUGGCCUUCCUGUGGCAGAGGAGGUAGGCAGGGCAGACUGUGCAGCUUUGAUGCACUGAGCCCAAAUCAAACUUUAGAGUCACGGUCCCAGCACCUUAGAGUGAAGAAGGAUUUAGGGGUUACGGAGAGGAGCGGUUUGUAGUUGGGCCUCAGCAGACAAGUGUGGGUCUGGGAUGUAGUUUUCACCCUCCAGGGCGACAUGGGAAAAAUGUAAGCCAUGGGGCACGUGGCUUAAAAAGAUCAAGCCGAAUGCUUGCAAUCUAAACGAUGCUUUCUCUCCCCGAUGUCAAGGCUGUUUAUGAGUGAUGUGCUAGUAGGUAGUGCUCUUUUGUUUUUGUUUUUAUUUCCUUGGCAACCCUAUGUUAGUUGUAAGUGCCUCCCUGAUUUGUUUGAUUAGUUUAAUUGCUCUGUUAAACCUCAGGGAUCUGGAAACCCUAGUUCCUCAGAACUGAGACCCAGAGAGGUGAUGGCGCUGCCUGGAACCAAACGGAGAAACACAUAGUGCAGUGCUUCUGCUGUUGUGUGUAAGGCAGUUGUGUGCGUUACAGUAUAUCCUGUCUGUUUGGCGUGACUGGUUUCUUGUGCAGCAUUUUAGACUCAGAAAUGAAGCAGUCAGUUAACAUGUUUGUUGUUUGGCAACUGGAAGUAGGCUUGGUCUCUGAGAAGUCUAACCAGAUGGGAUUGCUGCCUGUCACUGUUCGCUGAGGCUUUCAGAAAUGUCACAGUCACGAAGUCAUAUACAUGUGCUGUUAUUACUGACUUUGAUAUGCAAAUAAAGACUGUUCUUUUUCAA